rnacentral:rRNA from 1 species
GGAAUCGCUAGUAAUCGCAGAUCAGAAUGCUGCGGUGAAUACGUUCCCGGGUCUUGUACACACCGCCCGUCACACCAUGGGGAGCCGGGAAUGCCCGAAGUCGGUGACCCAACCGUAAGGAGGGAGCCGCCGAAGGCAGGCCUGGUAACUGGGGUGAAGUCGUAACAAGGUAUC